rnacentral:rRNA from 1 species
UACGUAGGGUGCAAGCGUUGUCCGGAAUUAUUGGGCGUAAAGAGCUCGUAGGCGGUCUGUUGCGUCCGCUGUGAAAACUCGGGGCUUAACCCCCGAGCUGCAGUGGAUACGGGCAGACUAGAGGUAGGUAGGGGAGAAUGGAAUUCCCGGUGUAGCGGUGAAAUGCGCAGAUAUCGGGAGGAACACCGGUGGCGAAGGCGGUUCUCUGGGCCUUACCUGACGCUGAGGCGCGAAAGCUAGGGUAGCAAACGGG